UGGGGAAUAUUGCACAAUGGGCGAAAGCCUGAUGCAGCAACGCCGCGUGCGGGAUGACGGCCUUCGGGUUGUAAACCGCUUUCAGUGGGGACGAAGCUAACGUGACGGUACCUACAGAAGAAGCACCGGCCAACUACGUGCCAGCAGCCGCGGUGAUACGUAGGGUGCGAGCGUUGUCCGGAAUUAUUGGGCGUAAAGGGAUUGUAGGCGGUUCGUCGCGUCGAAAGUGAAAACUCAGGGCUCAACCCUGAGCCUGCUUUCGAUACGGGCGGACUAGAGGUAUGCAGGGGAGAACGGAAUUCCUGGUGGAGCGGUGGAAUGCGCAGAUAUCAGGAGGAACACCAACGGCGAAGGCAGCUUGCUGGGACGGUACUGACGCUGAGAUGCGAAAGCGUGGGGAGCAAACAG
rnacentral:rRNA from 1 species